rnacentral:misc_RNA from 1 species
CUCUCUCAAACCUUUGGGUUUGGUAUUGAGUGAUACUCUUUCUUUGGGUUAACUUGAAAUAUAGUUUGGCAAGAGUGUGUCUAUGUGGACUCUUGAUUGACAUAAUGUAUUAGGUUCUACCAACUCGUUAUAUCGGUCUUGAAGAGACUUGACAGUCUGGCUCGGCCUAACAACUUUCACAAA